UACAGAGGUGGCAAGCGUUGUUCGGAAUUACUGGGCGUAAAGGGCGCGUAGGCGGCCUUCUAAGUCAGACGUGAAAUCCCUCAGCUUAACUGGGGAACUGCGUCUGAUACUGGAUGGCUUGAGUUUGGGAGAGGGAUGCGGAAUUCCAGGUGUAGCGGUGAAAUGCGUAGAUAUCUGGAGGAACACCGGUGGCGAAGGCGGCAUCCUGGACCAACACUGACACUGAGGAGCGAAAGCCAGGGGAGCAAACGGG
rnacentral:rRNA from 1 species